AUUGAACGCUGGCGGCAUGCCUUACACAUGCAAGUCGAACGGUAACAGGUCUUCGGAUGCUGCCGAGUGGCGAACGGGUGAGUAAUACAUCGGAACGUGCCCGAUCGUGGGGGAUAACGAGGCGAAAGCUUUGCUAAUACCGCAUACGAUCUACGGAUGAAAGCGGGGGAUCUUCGGACCUCGCGCGGACGGAGCGGCCGAUGGCAGUUUAGGUAGUUGGUGGGAUAAAAGCUUACCAAGCCGACGAUCUGUAGCUGGUCUGAGAGGAUGAUCAGCCACACUGGGACUGAGACACGGCCCAGACUCCUACGGGAGGCAGCAGUGGGGAAUUUUGGACAAUGGGCGAAAGCCUGAUCCAGCCAUGCCGCGUGCAGGAUGAAGGCCUUCGGGUUGUAAACUGCUUUUGUACGGAACGAAAAGCCUCUUUCUAAUAAAGAGGGGUCAUGACGGUACCGUAAGAAUAAGCACCGGCUAACUACGUG
rnacentral:rRNA from 1 species